UUAAGCGACUAAGCGUACACGGUGGAUGCCUAGGCAGUCAGAGGCGAUGAAGGGCGUGCUAAUCUGCGAAAAGCGUCGGUAAGGUGAUAUGAACCGUUACAACCGACGAUACCCGAAUGGGGAAACCCAGUGCAAUUCGUUGCACUAUUGCAUGGUGAAUACAUAGCCAUGCAAGGCGAACCGGGGGAACUGAAACAUCUAAGUACCCCGAGGAAAAGAAAUCAACCGAGAUUCCCCCAGUAGCGGCGAGCGAACGGGGAGGAGCCCAGAACCUGAAUCAGCAUAUGUGUUAGUGGAAGCGUCUGGAAAGUCGCACGGUACAGGGUGAUAGUCCCGUACACAAAAAUGCAUAUGUUGUGAGUUCGAUGAGUAGGGCGGGACACGUGACAUCCUGUCUGAAUAUGGGGGGACCAUCCUCCAAGGCUAAAUACUCCUGACUGACCGAUAGUGAACCAGUACCGUGAGGGAAAGGCGAAAAGAACCCCGGCGAGGGGAGUGAAAUAGAACCUGAAACCGUGUACGUACAAGCAGUGGGAGCACCUUCGUGGUGUGACUGCGUACCUUUUGUAUAAUGGGUCAGCGACUUAUAUUUUGUAGCAAGGUUAACCGAAUAGGGGAGCCGUAGGGAAACCGAGUCUUAACUGGGCGAAUAGUUGCAAGGUAUAGACCCGAAACCCGGUGAUCUAGCCAUGGGCAGGUUGAAGGUUGGGUAACACUAACUGGAGGACCGAACCGACUAAUGUUGAAAAAUUAGCGGAUGACUUGUGGCUGGGGGUGAAAGGCCAAUCAAACCGGGAGAUAGCUGGUUCUCCCCGAAAGCUAUUUAGGUAGCGCCUCGUGAACUCAUCUUCGGGGGUAGAGCACUGUUUCGGCUAGGGGGUCAUCCCGACUUACCAAACCGAUGCAAACUCCGAAUACCGAAGAAUGUUAUCACGGGAGACACACGGCGGGUGCUAACGUCCGUCGUGAAGAGGGAAACAACCCAGACCGCCAGCUAAGGUCCCAAAGUCAUGGUUAAGUGGGAAACGAUGUGGGAAGGCAUAGACAGCCAGGAUGUUGGCUUAGAAGCAGCCAUCAUUUAAAGAAAGCGUAAUAGCUCACUGGUCGAGUCGGCCUGCGCGGAAGAUGUAACGGGGCUAAACCAUGCACCGAAGCUGCGGCAGCGACACUUAGGUGUUGUUGGGUAGGGGAGCGUUCUGUAAGCCGUUGAAGGUGACCUGUGAGGGUUGCUGGAGGUAUCAGAAGUGCGAAUGCUGACAUAAGUAACGAUAAUGCGGGUGAAAAACCCGCACGCCGGAAGACCAAGGGUUUCCUUCCAACGUUAAUCGGGGCAGGGUGAGUCGACCCCUAAGGCGAGGCUGAAAAGCGUAGUCGAUGGGAAACAGGUUAAUAUUCCUGUACUUGGUGUUACUGCGAAGGGGGGACGGAGAAGGCUAGGCUAGCCGGGCGACGGUUGUCCCGGUUUAAGCAUGUAGGCGGAGUGACUUGGUAAAUCCGGUUGCUUAUCAACGCUGAGGUGUGAUGACGAGCCACUACGGUGGUGAAGUAGUUGAUGCCAAGCUUCCAGGAAAAGCCUCUAAGCAUCAGGUAACAUUAAAUCGUACCCCAAACCGACACAGGUGGUCAGGUAGAGAAUACUCAGGCGCUUGAGAGAACUCGGGUGAAGGAACUAGGCAAAAUGGUGCCGUAACUUCGGGAGAAGGCACGCUGGCAUUAGGUAAAGAGACUUGCUCUCGGCGCCGAAGCCAGUCGCAGAUACCAGCUGGCUGCAACUGUUUAAUAAAAACACAGCACUGUGCAAACACGAAAGUGGACGUAUACGGUGUGACGCCUGCCCGGUGCUGGAAGGUUAAUUGAUGGGGUCAGCCGCAAGGCGAAGCUCUUGAUCGAAGCCCCAGUAAACGGCGGCCGUAACUAUAACGGUCCUAAGGUAGCGAAAUUCCUUGUCGGGUAAGUUCCGACCUGCACGAAUGGCGUAAUGAUGGCCAGGCUGUCUCCACCCGAGACUCAGUGAAAUUGAACUCGCUGUGAAGAUGCAGUGUACCCGCGGCAAGACGGAAAGACCCCGUGAACCUUUACUAUAGCUUGACACUGAACAUUGAGCCUUGAUGUGUAGGAUAGGUGGGAGGCAUUGAAGUGUGGACGCCAGUCUGCAUGGAGCCAACCUUGAAAUACCACCCUUUAAUGUUUGAUGUUCUAACUCGGCCCCGUGAUCCGGGGUGAGGACAGUGUCUGGUGGGUAGUUUGACUGGGGCGGUCUCCUCCCAAAGAGUAACGGAGGAGCACGAAGGUUAGCUAAUCACGGUCGGACAUCGUGAGGUUAGUGCAAAGGCAUAAGCUAGCUUGACUGCGAGAGUGACGGCUCGAGCAGGUACGAAAGUAGGUCUUAGUGAUCCGGUGGUUCUGAAUGGAAGGGCCAUCGCUCAACGGAUAAAAGGUACUCCGGGGAUAACAGGCUGAUACCGCCCAAGAGUUCAUAUCGACGGCGGUGUUUGGCACCUCGAUGUCGGCUCAUCACAUCCUGGGGCUGAAGUAGGUCCCAAGGGUAUGGCUGUUCGCCAUUUAAAGUGGUACGCGAGCUGGGUUUAGAACGUCGUGAGACAGUUCGGUCCCUAUCUGCCGUGGGCGUUGGAAGAUUGAGAGGGGCUGCUCCUAGUACGAGAGGACCGGAGUGGACGAAUCACUGGUGUUCGGGUUGUCAUGCCAAUGGCAUUGCCCGGUAGCUAAAUUCGGAAGAGAUAACCGCUGAAAGCAUCUAAGCGGGAAACUUGCCUCGAGAUGAGUCUUCCCUGGGGCUUUAAG
rnacentral:rRNA from 1 species